rnacentral:rRNA from 1 species
AGUGAACGCUGGCGGUAGGCCUAACACAUGCAAGUCGAACGGCAGCACAGUAAGAGCUUGCUCUUACGGGUGGCGAGUGGCGGACGGGUGAGGAAUACAUCGGAAUCUACUUUUUCGUGGGGGAUAACGUAGGGAAACUUACGCUAAUACCGCAUACGACCUACGGGUGAAAGCAGGGGAGCUUCGGACCUUGCGCGAUUGAAUGAGCCGAUGUCGGAUUAGCUAGUUGGCGGGGUAAAGGCCCACCAAGGCGACGAUCCGUGGCUGGUCUGAGAGGAUGAUCAGCCACACUGGAACUGAGACACGGUCCAGACUCCUACGGGAGGCAGCAGUGGGGAAUAUUGGACAAUGGGCGCAAGCCUGAUCCAGCCAUACCGCGUGGGUGAAGAAGGCCUUCGGGUUGUAAAGCCCUUUUGUUGGGAAAGAAAAGCAGCAGGUUAAUACCCCGCUGUUCUGACGGUACCCAAAGAAUAAGCACCGGCUAACUUCGUG